GCCCAGAUGGCGGAACUGGUAGACGCACUUGCCUUAGGAGCAAGCGGGUUUAUCCCAUGAGAGUUCGAGUCUCUCUCUGGGCA
rnacentral:tRNA from 1 species